GCAGGCUUAAUACAUGCAAGUCSUGGGGCAGCGCAGUGUAGCAAUACAUGGGCGGCGACCGGCAAACGGGUGCGGAACACGUACACAACCUUCCUACAAGUGGGGAAUAGCCCAGAGAAAUUUGGAUUAAUACCCCGUAACAUAUAAAGAUGGCAUCAUUUUUAUAUUAUAGCUACGGCGCUUGUUGAUGGGUGUGCGGCUGAUUAGGUAGUUGGCGGGGUAAUGGCCCACCAAGCCUGCGAUCAGUAGCUGAUGUGAGAGCAUGAUCAGCCACACGGGCACUGAGACACGGGCCCGACUCCUACGGGAGGCAGCAGUAAGGAAUAUUGGACAAUGGGUGCAAGCCUGAUCCAGCCAUGCCGCGUGAAGGAUUAAGGUCCUCUGGAUUGUAAACUUCUUUUAUAAGGGACGAAAAAGGGAAUUCUUUCUCACUUGACGGUACCUUAUGAAUAAGCACCGGCUAACUCCGUGCCAGCAGCCGCGGUAAUACGGAGGGUGCAAGCGUUAUCCGGAUUCACUGGGUUUAAAGGGUGCGUAGGCGGGUAUUUAAGUCAGUGGUGAAAUCCUAGAGCUUAACUCUAGAACUGCCAUUGAUACUAUUUAUCUUGAAUAUUGUGGAGGUAAGCGGAAUAUGUCAUGUAGCGGUGAAAUGCUUAGAUAUGACAUAGAACACCUAUUGCGAAGGCAGCUUACUACGCAUAUAUUGACGCUGAGGCACGAAAGCGUGGGGAUCAAACAGGAUUAGAUACCCUGGUAGUCCACGCCCUAAACGAUGGAUACUCGACAUACGCGAUACACUGUGUGUGUCUGAGCGAAAGCAUUAAGUAUCCCCCUGGGAAGUACGACCGCAAGGUUG
rnacentral:rRNA from 1 species